AUGGCGUGUCUAGCUACUGCUGUUCAUCGGAGUAGGAAGCAGAGGAUGGAGCCGCUCUACUGCUGCUGGGGGAAGGGUGGCAGCGGCGAGCAACACCAGCCGCCGGUGAUGGAGAUGGCCCCGGUGCUGCGAGAGGAAGAGGGGCGCAGCUCCGGUGCUGCUGUAGCAAGGCAUGGCGACGGGGAGCAGAUCCAGCCGUCGGCGAUGGGAGUUGCAGAGGAGUCGCGAUGGCGAUGCAGGAGUUGGAGAUGGUUCUGCCGCGCUGCUGGCUUUGGUUUCCUAUAUUGUCAGGGCAAAGAAGUUGCCUGUCAUUGUAGUUUCCUUUCUUCCUGUCUUUUUCCAUUGGAAAUAAUCGAUAUCGAGAGCGAUGGUCUGCUCAUAAUUGAUAUUCCUAAUCAAUCUGCACCUUGGCAGGCGGAUCCAUCAGCAUGGAGAAGUUCCAUGAUUUUAAGGUUGGUGACUGGGUUACAGUCAAAGCAACAGUCCCGUCCCCAAAAUAGCCAUGCUACAGCCGAUGAAGUUAGGAUAGUUGCGAUUCAGUUUGGUAACUUAAUACCUUCCAUCUUAUUCAUUGAUAAUGCUUUGAAGACACCGACAAUAAAAAAGGGCAACCUGGUGCAUGUAGCUCCCGCUUGCGCAGGGUCCAGGGAAGGGUCCGACCACUUUGGGUCUAUAGAAAAACAGCAGGAAGGAAAUAGAGCGGGUUGUGUGUCAUCGUGCACGCAGUCUGCCUUCCAUUGGCGUGCGAGUACUUGCACUUGGAUCGCCCAAUUGUGUGUGCACAGCAGGGGACCAUGCGCUGGAACAUCGGAUUCAACCUACUCACAAGUUGAAGAGAAGGUUACGUAUGCUUUUUGCACAAUCUCCUUUUCAAGAUAUUAUGAGUGGUUGACUACCGGAGAUUAUCAGAUGGAAAGAUGGUUGUAUGAUCUUCGAGGCUGCUGCUUCUUUGUUAUGUCGGUCGAGGUCGUACGACCUAUAAAUUCUCACCGGCGAGUUGGAAGGGUGAAUGUUGGAACAGCCUUGCUGUUCCAGUUUACAUCUGCAUGGCUGUAUGAUCUCUGCAGGUUGCUGCUUGUUUGUUCUGCCAGUGGAGGUCACCGCCGUGUCUCCGCCCAGUCCGCAAUGUAUCGUGUGAAGGUGGGAUUAACAGGAUACAUACCCUGCCGCUUCAUAUUCUACAGCGAGCAGAGCAGGCCCAGGAAAACCUUUCGUGGGCCGGACACCGAGCAGUCCAGGACACAUUCCGUCGAGCAGCUCAUGAGCUCGCCGGAGAGCUCGCUACCGGCACCUUCGCUCAUCCAUGGCCGCUACUGUGAUGGAAGAUGUAGACCGGCGACGUUGUGGAAGGUGCUGCCCGCCGCCUUCCACCAUGGCGUCCCCGUCGACGCUCAAUGGCCGCCGUCCCGCACGAUGGUGCGCACGAGCGGCCAAACUCCCGUCGCCUCUCCCUACUGGCCGAGGCCCGGCAGCCACGGCGGUUCCCGUGGCCCCCUCGUCCCCUUUCAUAAGUUGGCCGCCUUUGCGGCCCCGGUGCUCCCCGUGGAGGCAAGCAAGGCUCUCGGUGGCUGGAGGCAGUGGCGCUGCAAGGCAUACUUGCGGGCGGGUGUGCGGCGGCGCUGCAAGGCAGGCUCGCUAGCGGGCGCGGGGCAGCGGCGGGUGCGCUCCGGCAUGAUGGCUGUGAUUUGGAGUUGGACUGAUGAUUUGCUUUUGCUGCAACGCGAGCUACGUCCCAAAUACAGAAGCAUCCAUCGACAGUCAGGAGGUGGCCAGGUCAGACAGGCAGGACAGCAUGGCAGCAGAAACUCGACCUACAACCAACCAGGGGCAGGAGCGCGUCAUCGCCAAGCCACCUCGGAUCAAGCAUCCGAAUCGCCUGUUCGUGGGCCCAGAGUCGCUGCCCUGGAAACCCGUCGUCAGAAGCAAGCGCGCGACAACCUCAUCGCCAACAUGGAUCCGGCCCUGAAAGCGUACCUCGACAAGAUGAGCGACGAGGCCGCCGCCCGCGCCAACCGGCAAGAGGAGGACAACAAGGCCAUCCUCAAGGCCGUGGCGACGCAGACCGCACGGAUCGAAGCCCUCGUCUCGUGGAAGCCAGAGUUGGAGGCGCGGUUCGUGCAAUUGGAGAUCUCGGUUGCCGCGCUCCAGGCCGCAUCAGCGUCAUCGGCACCACCCACCAGUUCGCCGUCGCCGCCGACUUCUCCAGUCGUUGUGCGCGAGAUUCAAGGGCAACCAGGCCACGACGCGUCACUACACCCCGGUGGAUCUCCGAUGGUGACUUUAGAGUCACUGGCGGUUUCCCCGGUCACAGGUAUGGCCAUGAUCCCAUCCUCGAAUUCUUCCCCGUUGUCCUCACAAGUACUGACGGCGAUGGGGCAAGCACCCCCGCCGAUCUCGUUUCCCAAUUUCGCGGGCGAGAAUCCUCAGCUUUGGAAAACGCUGGCGGGGCAAUAUUUUCAGAUGUUUGCGGUUCAGGAGUCCUAUUGGGUACCCAUGGCGAUUUUGAAUUUCUCUGGUUCGACUGCCAUUUGGUUGCAAUCAGUACAACACAAGAUCGCUGGUCUUGACUGGGAGUCAUUCACGGCUCUGGUCUGCGGGCGGACAUACGGGCGGUGGUGCUCAUCCAACGCCCCCCCCGACCUCGGCACGGCAUGUUCUCUGGCGCUGCUUCAGGAGGAAGUGGCGGAGGGCGAGGUUGCCAGGCAUACGGUGCCCAGUCGCUUCCCAGCACCACGUUUCAUGACGACAAGUGCUCCGAGCCUGUCUGUGAGCACUGCACGACCAUCAGCACCUGCAACUAGUGCGGAAGAUCACCGAGGAACAGAAGCAGCAAGAGCAGGGACAGAUAACAGAGCGCGUCAUCGCCAAGCCACCUCGGAUCAAGCAUCUGAAUCGCCUGUUCAUGGGCCCAGAGUGGGUGAACUAUACUUAAGAAAGGCAGCGCGACUGGGAGAGCAUCCAGGAGGAUCAGGCAUCGGCAUGGCACGGCUUUUCUUUUUUGCUUUUGCUUUCUUCUUUCCUUCCCACAAGACAAAGUGGAACUCUGCAAAAUAUCAUCUUGUUGGACAUCUGAGGAGCUCGCGGGGUUUGCCAGGGGGUUCAAUGCGGAGCUCACCGGCGACUGCCACGUCCAGGUGCGCCAGCUCGCCAUCUCCGACGGGAUCAUGUUAUGCCACCGCAUCGCCUGAUCGAUCGACAGGCCCACUUGUGAGCGUCUCCCGUCUCUCUCCUUCCCUUCUCUCGCAUUCCGCCAAGAAGCUCACGAGCUCGCCGGAGAGCUCGCUGACGGCACCUUGGCUCACCCAUGGCCGCUACUCUGAUGGACGAUGCAGCCGGCGACGUUGUGGAGGAGCUCCACAUCGGAGUCAGCGGCGGCGAGGUCCUAGUUCCAGCUCGGACGAGGAGUUGCAUGGGUGCCCAUCCCGUCAUGAGGUGCUCCUUGCCGCCUUACACCCUGCCGUCUCCGUCGACGCUCAAUGGCCGCUGUCCCACACAACCAAACUCUCUUCGCCUCUCCCUGUUGGCCGAGGCCCAUCAGCCAUGACGGUUCCCGUGCCCCCCUCGUCCCCCUUCACAAGCUGGUCGCUUCUAUGUCCUUGGUGCUCCCCGAUGGAGGCAGGGAAGGCUCGAUGCUGGAGGCAGUGGCUAUGA
rnacentral:rRNA from 1 species